rnacentral:tRNA from 1 species
CAGAGAAUAGUUUAAUUAAAAUUUUAAUUUUGGAGAUUAAAGAUGGGUAUCAUAUCUUUCUCUGA